rnacentral:rRNA from 1 species
GACGAACGCUGGCGGCGUGCUUAACACAUGCAAGUCGAACGGUGAAGCGCCUUCCUUUUUGGUGGGUGUGGAUGAGUGGCGAACGGGUGAGUAACACGUGAGUAACCUGCCCCCUUCUUCUGGAUAACCGCAUGAAAGUGUGGCUAAUACGGGAUAUUCUGGGUCUGUCGCAUGAUGGGUCUGGGAAAGAUAUUGUUUCGGUGGGGGAUGGGCUCGCGGCCUAUCAGCUUGUUGGUGGGGUGAUGGCCUACCAAGGCGGUGACGGGUAGCCGGCCUGAGAGGGUUGACGGUCACACUGGGACUGAGACACGGCGCAGACUCCUACGGGAGGCAGCAGUGGUGAAUAUUGCACAAUGGGCGCAAGCCUGAUGCAGCGACGCCGCGUGAGGGAUGGAGGCCUUCGGGUUGUGAACCUCUUUCGCCAGUGAAGCAGGCCUGCCUCGUUUGUGGGUGGGUUGACGGUAGCUGGAUAAGAAGCGCCGGCUAACUACGUG